rnacentral:rRNA from 1 species
AAACGGCNGCGUUAGCGUGAGCGUGCUAAGGUAGCGUAAUAAAUAGCCUCUUAAUUGGAGGCCAGUGAAUGGCAAGACUAGGGACACCUGUACCCUAUAUAGAAAAACAACUUUUCAUUUGGGUGAAAAGACCCAAAUAAUAAAGGAAGACGAAAAGACCCCGCGGAACUUUACCUUUUCUAGUCUCCACAUGCUCAUAAACACAAAAACAAAAAGGUUUGAUUGGGGCAAUCUCGGAACCACCCAAACUUCCACUUACAACACAAAAACAUAUAAAACUUAAUAAGGACCAAAAAGAAGUUACCCCGGGGAUAAUAGCGUAAUCCAACUUGAGAGUACACAUCGAAAGUUGGGUUUGCGACCUCGAUGUUGGCUUAAGG